CGAGUGAAGGCGACAAUCCUGUAUGGCUCCGAGACCGGCCGGGCCCAGAGCUACGCACAGCAGCUGGGGAGACUCUUCCGGAAGGCUUUUGAUCCCCGGGUCCUGUGUAUGGAUGAGUAUGACGUGGUGUCCCUCGAACACGAGACGCUGGUGCUGGUGGUAACCAGCACAUUUGGGAAUGGGGAUCCCCCGGAGAAUGGAGAGAACCUAUUUACGUUGCCCAGGCUGGCCUUGAACUCCUAGCCUCAAGAGAUCCUCCUGCCGCAGGCUCCUUUUUCAAAAGAAGAAAUUGAGCGCUGUUUAGAUGCCAACAUAGAUUAAAUAACUUCACU
rnacentral:lncRNA from 10 species